rnacentral:tRNA from 1 species
CGGGGCGUAGCGCAGUCUGGUAGCGCACUUGCAUGGGGUGCAAGGAGUCGCAGGUUCAAAUCCUGUCGUCCCGACCA